ACUCCUACGGGAGGCAGCAGUGGGGAAUAUUGCACAAUGGGGGAAACCCUGAUGCAGCCAUGCCGCGUGUGUGAAGAAGGCCUUCGGGUUGUAAAGCACUUUCAGUAGGGAGGAAGGUAGUGUAGUUAACACCUGCAUUAUUUGACGUUACCUACAGAAGAAGCCCCGGCUAACUUCGUGCCAGCAGCCGCGGUAAUACGAAGGGGGGCUAGCGUUGUUCGGAAUCACUGGGCGUAAAGCGCACGUAGGCGGACUUUUAAGUCAGGGGUGAAAUCCCGGGGCUCAACCCUGGAACUGCCUUUGUACUGGAAAGUCUUGAGUCCGAGAGAGGUGAUGGAAUUCCGAGUGUAGAGGUGAAAUUCGUGAUAUUCGGAGGAACACCAGUGGCGAAGGCGGCUCACUGGCUCGGUACUGACGCUGAGGUGC
rnacentral:rRNA from 1 species